rfam:Clostridium lentocellum DSM 5427, complete genome.
UUUUAUGGGAGCAGACGUAAAAGAACGCCCUAAAUAAUCUAUGUGAUGCAACCACGUAUAAAAGCGUA